GCUGCUCGAAUAAUCACACACCUCUUCGUGGUAAGCAGCAGGCAACGAUCUGUGAUCGGCAGAGAUGUGAUA
rnacentral:ribozyme from 1 species